AUGCACGCUGGCGGCGUGCCUCAUCCCUGCCAGUCGAGCGCACAGACGAGGAGCUUGCUCCUCUGACGUUAGCGGCGGACGGGUGAGUAACACGUGGAUAACCUACCUAUAAGACUGGGAUAACUUCGGGAAACCGGAGCUAAUACCGGAUAACAUGUUGAACCGCAUGGUUCAACAGUGAAAGACGGUCUUGCUGUCACUUAUAGAUGGAUCCGCGCCGCAUUAGCUAGUUGGUAAGGUAACGGCUUACCAAGGCAACGAUGCGUAGCCGACCUGAGAGGGUGAUCGGCCACACUGGAACUGAGACACGGUCCAGACUCCUACGGGAGGCAGCAGUAGGGAAUCUUCCGCAAUGGGCGAAAGCCUGACGGAGCAACGCCGCGUGAGUGAAGAAGGUCUUCGGAUCGUAAAACUCUGUUAUUAGGGAAGAACAAAUGUGUAAGUAACUAUGCACGUCUUGACGGUACCUAAUCAGAAAGCCACGGCUAACUACGUG
rnacentral:rRNA from 1 species